UGGGGAAUAUUGCACAAUGGAGGGAACUCUGAUGCAGCGACGCCGCGUGAACGAAGAAGGCUUUCGAGUCGUAAAGUUCUUUUAUAUGGGAAGAUAAUGACGGUACCAUAAGAAAAAGCCCCGGCUAACUACGUGCCAGCAGCCGCGGUAAUACGUAGGGGGCUAGCGUUGUCCGGAAUCACUGGGCGUAAAGGGUUCGCAGGCGGAAAUGCAAGUCAGGUGUAAAAGGCAGUAGCUUAACUACUGUAAGCAUUUGAAACUGCAUAUCUUGAGAAGAGUAGAGGUAAGUGGAAUUUUUAGGAUAGCGGUGAAAUGCGUAGAUAUUAAAAAGAAUACCGGUGGCGAAGGCGACUUACUGGGCUCAGUCUGACGCUGAGGAACGAAAGCGUGGGUAGCAAACAGG
rnacentral:rRNA from 1 species